AGUGAACGCUGGCGGUAGGCCUAACACAUGCAAGUCGAACGGCAGCACAGUAAGAGCUUGCUCUUACGGGUGGCGAGUGGCGGACGGGUGAGGAAUACAUCGGAAUCUACUUUUUCGUGGGGGAUAACGUAGGGAAACUUACGCUAAUACCGCAUACGACCUACGGGUGAAAGCAGGGGAUCUUCGGACCUUGCGCGAUUGAAUGAGCCGAUGUCGGAUUAGCUAGUUGGCGGGGUAAGGGCCCACCAAGGCGACGAUCCGUAGCUGGUCUGAGAGGAUGAUCAGCCACACUGGAACUGAGACACGGUCAAGACUCCUACGGGAGGCAGCAGUGGGGAAUAUUGGACAAUGGGCGCAAGCCUGAUCCAGCCAUACCGCGUGUGUGAAGAAGGCCUUCGGGUUGUAAAGCCCUUUUGUUGGGAAAGAAAAGCAGCAGGUUAAUACCCCGCUGUUCUGACGGUACCCAAAGAAUAAGCACCGGCUAACUUCGUG
rnacentral:rRNA from 1 species